GCCAGCAGCCGCGGUAAUACGGAGGUUCCAAGCGUUGUUCGGAAUUACUGGGCGUAAAGGGAGCGCAGGCGGGCAAGUCAGUCUGAAGUGAAAUCCCGGGGCUCAACCUCGGACUUGCUUCGGAUACUGCUUGUCUUGAGUUCGUGAUAGGAAGACGGAAUUCAGGGUGUAGCGGUGAAAUGCACAGAUAUCCUGAGGAACACCGGUGGCGAAAGCGGUCUUCUGGCGCGAAACUGACGCUGAGGCUCGAAAGCGUGGGUAGCAAACGGGAUUAGAUACCCCGGUAGUCCACGCCGUAAACGUUGUGUACUAGGUGUAGGAGGUAUCGACCCCUUCUGUGCCGCAGCUAACGCAUUAAGUACACCGCCUGGGGAGUACGCGCCGCAGCGUGAAACUCAAAGGAAUUGACGGGGGCC
rnacentral:rRNA from 1 species